rnacentral:rRNA from 1 species
CCGAUAGUGAACCAGUACCGUGAGGGAAAGGCGAAAAGAACCCCGGCGAGGGGAGUGAAAAAGAACCUGAAACCGUGUACGUACAAGCAGUGGGAGCCCCACCACUAAGCCAGUGGUGAACUCCACAUACGCAUCCUUUGCUGAGGAUACGGUUAACGGAGCGAAAGCGACGUUCAACCGCAAAAGAAGCAGAGGGGGCUUAGUGGUGGGGUGACUGCGUACCUUUUGUAUAAUGGGUCAGCGACUUAUAUUCUGUAGCAAGGUUAACCGUAUAGGGGAGCCGCAGGGAAACCGAGUCUUAACCGGGCGUUAAGUUGCAGGGUAUAGACCCGAAACCCGGUGAUCUAGCCAUGGGCAGGUUGAAGGUUGGGUAACACUAACUGGAGGACCGAACCGACUAAUGUUGAAAAAUUAGCGGAUGACCUGUGGCUGGGGGUGAAAGGCCAAUCAAACCGGGAGAUAGCUGGUUCUCCCCGAAAGCUAUUUAGGUAGCGCCUCGUGAACUCAUCUCCGGGGGUAGAGCACUGUUUCGGCUAGGGGGCCAUCCCGGCUUACCAACCCGAUGCAAACUGCGAAUACCGGAGAAUGUUAUCACGGGAGACACACGGCGGGUGCUAACGUCCGUCGUGAAGAGGGAAACAACCCAGACCGCCAGCUAAGGUCCCAAAGUCAUGGUUAAGUGGGAAACGAUGUGGGAAGGCCCAGACAGCCAGGAUGUUGGCUUAGAAGCAGCCAUCAUUUAAAGAAAGCGUAAUAGCUCACUGGUCGAGUCGGCCUGCGCGGAAGAUGUAACGGGGCUAAACCAUGCACCGAAGCUGCGGCAGCGACACUAUGUGUUGUUGGGUAGGGGAGCGUUCUGUAAGCCUGUGAAGGUGGCCUGUGAGGGUUGCUGGAGGUAUCAGAAGUGCGAAUGCUGACAUAAGUAACGAUAAAGCGGGUGAAAAGCCCGCUCGCCGGAAGACCAAGGGUUCCUGUCCAACGUUAAUCGGGGCAGGGUGAGUCGACCCCUAAGGCGAGGCCGAAAGGCGUAGUCGAUGGGAAACGGGUUAAUAUUCCCGUACUUGGUGUUACUGCGAAGGGGGGACGGAGAAGGCUAUGUUGGCCGGGCGACGGUUGUCCCGGUUUAAGCGUGUAGGUGUGUGUUCCAGGUAAAUCCGGUUCACUUUAACACUGAGGCGUGAUGACGAGGCACUACGGUGCUGAAGCAACAAAUGCCCUGCUUCCAGGAAAAGCCUCUAAGCAUCAGGUAACAUCAAAUCGUACCCCAAACCGACACAGGUGGUCAGGUAGAGAAUACCAAGGCGCUUGAGAGAACUCGGGUGAAGGAACUAGGCAAAAUGGUGCCGUAACUUCGGGAGAAGGCACGCUGACAUGUAGGUGAAGUGAUUUACUCAUGGAGCUGAAGUCAGUCGAAGAUACCAGCUGGCUGCAACUGUUUAUUAAAAACACAGCACUGUGCAAACACGAAAGUGGACGUAUACGGUGUGACGCCUGCCCGGUGCCGGAAGGUUAAUUGAUGGGGUCAGCGCAAGCGAAGCUCCUGAUCGAAGCCCCGGUAAACGGCGGCCGUAACUAUAACGGUCCUAAGGUAGCGAAAUUCCUUGUCGGGUAAGUUCCGACCUGCACGAAUGGCGUAAUGAUGGCCAGGCUGUCUCCACCCGAGACUCAGUGAAAUUGAACUCGCUGUGAAGAUGCAGUGUACCCGCGGCAAGACGGAAAGACCCCGUGAACCUUUACUAUAGCUUGACACUGAACAUUGAGCCUUGAUGUGUAGGAUAGGUGGGAGGCUUUGAAGUGUGGACGCCAGUCUGCAUGGAGCCGACCUUGAAAUACCACCCUUUAAUGUUUGAUGUUCUAACGUGGACCCGUAAUCCGGGUUGCGGACAGUGUCUGGUGGGUAGUUUGACUGGGGCGGUCUCCUCCUAAAGAGUAACGGAGGAGCACGAAGGUUGGCUAAUCCUGGUCGGACAUCAGGAGGUUAGUGCAAUGGCAUAAGCCAGCUUGACUGCGAGCGUGACGGCGCGAGCAGGUGCGAAAGCAGGUCAUAGUGAUCCGGUGGUUCUGAAUGGAAGGGCCAUCGCUCAACGGAUAAAAGGUACUCCGGGGAUAACAGGCUGAUACCGCCCAAGAGUUCAUAUCGACGGCGGUGUUUGGCACCUCGAUGUCGGCUCAUCACAUCCUGGGGCUGAAGUAGGUCCCAAGGGUAUGGCUGUUCGCCAUUUAAAGUGGUACGCGAGCUGGGUUUAGAACGUCGUGAGACAGUUCGGUCCCUAUCUGCCGUGGGCGCUGGAGAACUGAGGGGGGCUGCUCCUAGUACGAGAGGACCGGAGUGGACGCAUCACUGGUGUUCGGGUUGUCAUGCCAAUGGCACUGCCCGGUAGCUAAAUGCGGAAGAGAUAAGUGCUGAAAGCAUCUAAGCACGAAACUUGCCCCGA